CCUGUACAUGUAGGGUGCUGUUUUACUGCAGAGACUUAGAUGAACACAAAUAUUUGUGUUUCAAAACAGUAAAACAUAUCACAGUAAUGAUAUUGUCAGUAACAGUGAAGUUGUUUGCAUUCUUCAAACAUAAAUGGCACUUUCACUGACGAUACCAUCGUUGUAAUUUGUUUUCAGCGAAGUCUUCCGAGUAAAACAGUAACCCCCCACGUGU